rnacentral:rRNA from 1 species
CAGCCGCCGCGGGAAUACGUAGGUGGCAAGCGUUGUCCGGAAUUAUUGGGCGUAAAGGGCUCGCAGGCGGUUUCUUAAGUCUGAUGUGAAAGCCCCCGGCUCAACCGGGGAGGGUCAUUGGAAACUGAGAAACUUGAGUGCAGAAGAGGAGAGUGGAAUUCCACGUGUAGCGGUGAAAUGCGUAGAGAUGUGGAGGAACACCAGUGGCGAAGGCGACUCUCUGGUCUGUAACUGACGCUGAGGAGCGAAAGCGUGGGGAGCAAACAGGAUUAGAUACCCGGGUAGUCCCUGUCUCUUAUAC